UAUGAUAUAACCAAAAGAAAUUUGGUACUUCCGGAUGCUGUACUACAGAGUGGACGUCCAAGGAACGACUAUUUUGUGAAGGUGGUGGAAGACUACAUUUUCUUUCAUGUCAGGAAGCAUUUCGGAGCGUAUAAUUCUUGACUGGAUGAGUGUGCCACACGUGGAUUCCAGACGGAUAGUCAAAUGUUCAUUGUAAUAAAAGGCAGUAUAG